AUGAAUGCCAGGAUGCUCUUUUAGAGGUCCGACCCAUUUUAUUACCACACUGUGCAUCAACUAUUUUUACACCCUUUUAUACACUAAAGUAUUGAAUGUCAAUAGUCUCUUAACUGAGCAUUAAAGUUAUAA
rnacentral:misc_RNA from 1 species